GCCAUGGCUCUGUGGAAGAGCCCCUGAUCUGCAUGCAGAAGGUCUUGGGUUCAAUCCCCAGUGUCAUCU